AGGUUUGCACAGUGGUAGUAUCGUAGCCAAUGAGUUUUAUCCGAGUGCGAUUAUUGCUAAUUGAAAACUUUUCCCAAAACCCCGCCAUGACGACUUGAGAUAUGGUCAGCAUUGGCAAUUUUUGACAAUCUCUAUAGAGA